GAUGAACGCUGGCGGCGUGCUUAACACAUGCAAGUCGAACGGGAAACCUUUUAUUGAAGCUUCGGCAGAUUUAGCUGGUUUCUAGUGGCGGACGGGUGAGUAACGCGUGGGUAACCUGCCUUAUACAGGGGGAUAACAACCAGAAAUGGUUGCUAAUACCGCAUAAGCGCACAGGACCGCAUGGUCCGGUGUGAAAAACUCCGGUGGUAUAAGAUGGACCCGCGUUGGAUUAGCUAGUUGGCAGGGUAACGGCCUACCAAGGCGACGAUCCAUAGCCGGCCUGAGAGGGUGAACGGCCACAUUGGGACUGAGACACGGCCCAGACUCCUACGGGAGGCAGCAGUGGGGAAUAUUACACAAUGGGGGAAACCCUGAUGCAGCGACGCCGCGUGAAGGAAGAAGUAUCUCGGUAUGUAAACUUCUAUCAGCAGGGAAGAUAGUGACGGUACCUGACGAAGAAGCCCCGGCUAACUACGUG
rnacentral:rRNA from 1 species